GCCUUCGUGGUGUAACGGUAGCACACUCGGCGCGUAUUCGAGAGGUCCAGGUUCGAGUCCCGGCGAGGGUA
rnacentral:tRNA from 1 species